ensembl:scaRNA
AACGGAGGACCAAGAAAGCUGAGUCUGAUAAAGCAAGACUUUGCUGAUACACUCCUCCUAAACAAAGGGGUGGUGAGAGCAGCCCUUAUCAGAGAAACCCACAGGGCGGAUGUGCUACCUAACAUUU